UAGAUACCCUGGUAGUCCACGCCGUAAACGAUGUCAACUAGCCGUUGGAAGCCUUGAGCUUUUAGUGGCGCAGCUAACGCAUUAAGUUGACCGCCUGGGGAGUACGGCCGCAAGGUUAAAACUCAAAGGAAUUGACGGGGACCCGCACAAGUAGCGGAGCAUGUGGUUUAAUUCGAAGCAACGCGAAGAACCUUACCAGGCCUUGACAUCCAAUGAACUUUCCAGAGAUGGAUUGGUGCCUUCGGGAACA
rnacentral:rRNA from 1 species